rnacentral:tRNA from 1 species
GUUAUGGAUGGCAGAGCCUGGCAUUGCAAAAGACCUAAGCCCUUUAAACAGGGGUUCAAAUCCCCUUCCUAACU